ensembl:lncRNA
GGAAAAUUCCAGUUCGAUUAUUGUUAGCAGGGUCUUCCCUCUUCUAAGGGUGCCCAAGAGCCUGAAAGGCUCACUUUGGAUCCAGAAAACAAGGGAAUGAGCCUUUGAGCUCCUUGCUACUCAGAUGUGGCCUGAGGACAAGCAAUGUCAGAGUCCCUGAGGAGCUUCUUGGAAAUGCAGAAUGUCAGGGCCCACCUCAGGCCUACUGAAUCAGAAUCUGCAUUUUAUCAAGAUUCCCAGCACUACUCCCUCAAUCAACUCAGGCUUUCAACCAACAAAAGCCUGAAAGACGAGUUGUCUACGACUUCUGGUUUCAGCCUGCCUUCACCAACACCCCCUGAGGCGACAGAGCACAAAGGCAGGGCUCUCUGCUCUCCACCAGGGAUAGAGGACGGCGGGAUGGGGAGGGGAGAUAAGGGGAAAAGGAAACCUAGCAACAGAAAAUAACAUCUCAAUCCAUUAUCCUGCCGCACUUGUAAUUCUUUAACUCUUGCUCCCAAUUAUAUCUGGAUUUAAGAGUGCAAAACAAAGGCUCAUGCUGUAAUUUUAAUGGACUUGUUUUUAUAGGAAAAAAGUGAGUCUCAGAAUCCUAGAAAUGAUUUCUUCUAAGACUCACAGGAUUUAAUAAGCUCCUAGCUUAAGGAUUAAACAUUUUUUUUUAGCAUCAGCGUAACGUGACUCGCGCUCCCCUUCCAAGUGGAGAAUCCCAUUGUACAAAACAGAAAGGGAGCUGCUUUGGUUGUCAGGUUGGGGCACAGAACUCCUGCUGGAUGGUUUCCUCACUCCAUCCCUGUCGCAGUCCCUGCAGUGGCUCAAGCAGACCGGAAGGCUCAGUGGAGCAUGGGGUGAAGAACCAGCCUCAGCCCACCCUCCACCCCACACUGAAAGCCUCUUCGUGGCUUCCCUUCACCCACCUCUGAUCACUCCCUUCCUGAGAGAAGUCUCACAGGCAGCCGACCCAUCGCCCAGCACCACCCAGGACGGGAAAACACUUCCUAUAUGAUUGACGACCCCAAUGUGAUUCCCCGUCACUCACCCACAAGUCUCAGUUCUGCCUAAGAGACCACAAGGAACAGGUCUACGUCCUCUUUCACAUGAGUUACAGAGCAUAUCUCUCCCUGGAGCGUCUUUUCCAGAUGAAACAGGCACUUAAACCUAUGAUAAGUGGGUAAAUGAAUGAAUAAAUGAAGAAGCAAACAUAGGAAGGAGCAGAUUGGAGGUGGAAAAGGAAGGAAGAGAAAGAACAACUGAAUGAAACACUCUCGUCAUUCUCUUCUGCACACUCUCUAGCUUGAAAAUGGUUCUCUUAAAAAGUGACAUGUGUGAGAAAAUUGUAGCUUUUGGAACUGAACACAAUUCUCCAGAAAGACCUUAACCAAGUGUUUUUCCUACUGUUGGCGGUAACCCAUAGAAGUUCUUCCUGCAGCCUAGCAGAUCGCCUCGCACCCCUACUUUGGAGACCAUGACACCCAGAAGGAGCUCACCAUCACCGCACAGGAGGGAGCAGACAAAGCCUUUUGGGCCAGAACGAAAGUUCAGGUCUAAACAAGGAAUACCCCCCAGAGGGUAACACCUGGACUGUAUCGGCCCACCAGAGCAAAGCCACACCAAGUUCCUGCAAUCAGAUCCUCUUCCAAGGCUACCUCACGUUGAUGUGAGAGGAUCCUGGAGGGGAAAGAGGGAUGGAAUCAGGGCCCCAAAAUAAAUGUAGUUGACUUCUCUUCGUUGCCUCCAGCAAUACCUAAAAUUUUGUAGUGAUGUUAUUUGCUAAAAGUAAUAAUGCUAACCACUACUACUUAUCGAGCACUCGGAAUUCUAAGUUCUGCACAUGUGUUAUUUCACUUAGUUUUUGAAAUAAUACCAGGGGUAAAGCGUUAUUAUCCCACUUUACAUAUGGGGCACCUGAGACUCAGAGACAUUAAAU